UCUUGGGCCUCUACAGCAACUACGCUGACAGCCUUCUUCUUGGGUGUCCCCUUCUUAACAGCUGUCUUCCCUCUCAGUUCACGUACACGGGCUUCCAGCUUAAACUGGGGUUCAGCAUCCCAU